rnacentral:rRNA from 1 species
GAUGAACGCUAGCGGCAGGCCUAACACAUGCAAGUCGAGGGGGAAGUUACUUUCGGGUGACUGAGACCGGCGUACGGGUGCGUAACGCGUAUACAAUCUGCCUUUCACUGGGGGAUAGCCCGAAGAAAUUUGGAUUAAUACCCCAUAGUAUAUAGGGACGGCAUCGUUUUUAUAUUAAAGCUUAGGUGGUGAAAGAUGAGUAUGCGUUCUAUUAGCUAGUUGGAGAGGUAACGGCUCCCCAAGGCGAUGAUAGAUAGGGGUUCUGAGAGGGAUGUCCCCCACACUGGUACUGAGAUACGGACCAGACUCCUACGGGAGGCAGCAGUGAGGAAUAUUGGACAAUGGUCGGAAGACUGAUCCAGCCAUGCCGCGUGCAGGAUGAAGGUCUUAUGGAUUGUAAACUGCUUUUGUAAGGGAAGAAUAAGGGAUACGCGUAGUUUGAUGACGGUACCUUACGAAUAAGCAUCGGCUAACUCCGUG